CAGCAGCGAGAAAUCGCUUCUGAAAAAGUUCUAUGCCCCGUUCGUCUAGCGGCUUAGGACGCCGGCCUCUCA
rnacentral:tRNA from 1 species